rnacentral:rRNA from 1 species
UGGGGAAUUUUGGACAAUGGGCGAAAGCCUGAUCCAGCAAUGCCGCGUGUGCGAAGAAGGCCUUCGGGUUGUAAAGCACUUUUGUCCGGAAAGAAAUCCUUGGCUCUAAUACAGUCGGGGGAUGACGGUACCGGAAGAAUAAGCACCGGCUAACUACGUGCCAGCAGCCGCGGUAAUACGUAGGGUGCAAGCGUUAAUCGGAAUUACUGGGCGUAAAGCGUGCGCAGGCGGUUUGCUAAGACCGAUGUGAAAUCCCCGGGCUCAACCUGGGAACUGCAUUGGUGACUGGCAGGCUAGAGUAUGGCAGAGGGGGGUAGAAUUCCACGUGUAGCAGUGAAAUGCGUAGAGAUGUGGAGGAAUACCGAUGGCGAAGGCAGCCCCCUGGGCCAAUACUGACGCUCAUGCACGAAAGCGUGGGGAGCAAACAGGAUUAGAUACCCUGGUAGUCCACGCCCUAAACGAUGUCAACUAGUUGUUGGGGAUUCAUUCCUUAGUAACGUAGCUAACGCGUGAAGUUGACCGCCUGGGGAGUACGGUCGCAAGAUU